rnacentral:rRNA from 1 species
UGGGGAAUUUUGCACAAUGGGGGAAACCCUGAUGCAGCGACGCCGCGUGAUUUAGAAGGCCUUCGGGUUGUAAAAAUCUUUUCUAUGGGAAGAAAAUGACAGUACCAUAGGAAUAAGGACCUGCUAAUUACGUGCCAGCAGCCGCGGUAAUACGUAAGGUCCGAGCGUUGUCCGGAAUCAUUGGGCGUAAAGGGUACGUAGGCGGGUAAGCAAGUUAGAAGUGAAAUCCUAUAGCUCAACUAUAGUAAGCUUUUAAAACUGCUCAUCUUGAGGUAUGGAAGGGAAAGUGGAAUUCCUAGUGUAGCGGUGAAAUGCGCAGAUAUUAGGAGGAAUACCGGUGGCGAAGGCGACUUUCUGGCCAUAACCUGACGCUGAGGUACGAAAGCGUGGGUAGCAAACAGG